rnacentral:rRNA from 1 species
AUGAACGCUGGCGGCGUGCCUCAUCCAUUCAAGUCGCGCGCACGGACGAGAAUCUUUCUUCUCUUAUUUUAUCGGCGGACGGUUGAUUAACACUUUGAUAACCUACCUAUAUUUCUGUGUUAACUUCGGGAAACCGGAGCUAAUACCUGAUAAUAUUUUUAACCUCUUGGUUCUAUAGUUAAAUUCGGUCUUUCUUUCACUUAUUUAUUUAUCCUCGCUGCAUUAGCUAGUUGGUUAGGUAACGGCUUACCAAGGCAACGAUGCAUAGCCGACCUGAGAGGGUGAUCGGCCACACUGGAACUGAGACACGGACAAGAAUACUACGGGAGGCAGCAGUAGGGAAUAUUCGGCAAUGGGCGAAAGGAUGACGGAGCAAAGCCGAGUGAGUGAAGAAGGACUACGGAUCGUAAAACACUGUUAUUAGGGAAGAAAAUAUGUGUAAGAAAAAGAGCACAGAAUGACGGUAACAAAAAAGAAAGCAACGGCUAACUACGUG